GACGAACGCUGGCGGCGUGCUUAACACAUGCAAGUCGAACGGAAAGUCCCUGCUUUUGUGGGGUGCUCGAGUGGCGAACGGGUGAGUAACACGUGAGUAACCUGCCCUUGACUUUGGGAUAACUUCAGGAAACUUGGGCUAAUACCGGAUAGGAGCUCCUGCUGCAUGGUGGGGGUUGGUAAGUUUCGGCGGUUGGGGAUGGACUCGCGGCUUAUCAGCUUGUUGGUUGGGUAGUGGCUUACCAAGGCUUUGACGGGUAGCCGGCCUGCGAGGGGGACCGGCCAAAUUGGGAUUGAGAUACGGCCCAGACUACUACGGGAGGCAGGAGUGGGGAAUAUUGCACAAUGGGCGGAAGCCUGAUGCAGCAACGCCGCGUGCGGGAUGACGGCCUUCGGGUUGUAAACCGCUUUCGCCUGUGACGAAGCGUGAGUGACGGUAAUGGGUAAAGAAGCACCGGCUAACUACGUG
rnacentral:rRNA from 1 species